rnacentral:rRNA from 1 species
AAUCAACGCUGGCGGCGUGCCUAACACAUGCAAGUCGAACGCGAAAGGGGACUUCGGUUCCUGAGUAGAGUGGCGUACGGGUGAGUAACGCGUGGGUCAUCUGCCCUCGGGUGGGGAAUAACUAAUCGAAAGGUUAGCUAAUACCGCAUAACACAGUGAUGUCAAAGCAGCAAUGUGCCUGAGGAGGAGCCUGCGUCUGAUUAGGUAGUUGGUGGGGUAACGGCCUACCAAGCCUGCGAUCAGUAGCUGGUCUGAGAGGACGGCCAGCCACAAUGG